rnacentral:rRNA from 1 species
ACCCCACUGCUAUCGGGAUGGACUAGACAUGCUAGUCAAGCGCCUUCCAGCCAUGUGGGAGGUGCGGCGUACAGCUCAGUAACACGUGGCUAACCUGCCCUUAGGAUGGAGACAACCCCGGGAAACUGGGGCUAAUCCCCGAUAGGUGAAGAACUCUGGAAUGAGUCUUCGCCCAAAAGGCGUCAGAUCAUGCUUCUGGCGUCGCCUAAGGAUGGGGCCGCGACCGAUCAGGCUGUUGGUGAGGUAAUGGCCCACCAAACCUAUAACCGGUGCGGGCCGUGAGAGCGGGAGCCCGGAGAUGGGCACUGAGACAAGGGCCCAGGUCCUACGGGGCGCAGCAGUCGCGAAACCUUUGCAAUACACGAAAGUGUGACAGGGUCAUCCCGAGUGCCGACCGCUGAGGUUGGCUUUUACCCAGUCUAGAAAGCUGGGGGAAUAAGGAGAAGGCAAGUCUGGUGUCAGCCGCCGCGGUAAUACCAGCUCUCCGAGUGGUGUGGACGUUUAUUGGGCCUAAAGCAUCCGUAGCUGGCUGGGCAAGUCCCCUGUUAAACCCACCGAUUUAAUCGUUGGUCUGCGGGGGAUACUGCUCAGCUAGGGGACGAGAGAGGCAGACGGUAUUCCCGGGGUAGGGGUGAAAUCCUAUAAUCCCGAGAAGACCACCAGUGGCGAAGGCUGUCUGCUAGAACGCGCCCGACGGUGAGGGAUGAAAGCUGGGGGAGCGAACCGGAUUAGAUACCCGGGUAGUCCCAGCUGUAAACGAUGCAGACUAGGUGUUUGAACGGCCACGUGCCGUUCUAGUGCCGCAGGGAAGCUGUUAAGUCUGCCGCCUGGGGAGUACGAUCGCAAGAUUGAAACUUAAAGGAAUUGGCGGGGGAGCACCACAAGGGGUGAAGCUUGCGGUUUAAUUGGAGUCAACGCCGG